rnacentral:rRNA from 1 species
UACAGAGGGUGCAAGCGUUGUUCGGAAUUAUUGGGCGUAAAGCGCGUGUAGGCGGCUUUGCAAGUCGGGUGUGAAAGCCCUCAGCUUAACUGAGGAAGUGCGCCCGAAACUGCAGAGCUUGAGUACCGGAGAGGAUGGUGGAAUUCCCCAAGUAGAGGUGAAAUUCGUAGAUAUGGGGAGGAACACCGGUGGCGAAGGCGACCAUCUGGACGGAUACUGACGCUGAGACGCGAAAGCGUGGGUAGCAAACAGA